GACGAACGCUGGCGGCGUGCUUAACACAUGCAAGUCGAACGGAAAGGCCCUGCUUGCAGGGUGCUCGAGUGGCGAACGGGUGAGUAACACGUGGGUGAUCUGCCCCUUACUUUGGGAUAAGCCUGGGAAACUGGGUCUAAUACUGGAUAGGACCAUGCUGUAUGUGGUGUGGUGGAAAGAUUAGUUUCGGUAAGGGAUGAGCUCGCGGCCUAUCAGCUUGUUGGUGGGGUAAUGGCCUACCAAGGCGUCGACGGGUAGCCGGCCUGAGAGGGUGGACGGCCACAUUGGGACUGAGAUACGGCCCAGACUACUGCGGGAGGCAGCAGUGGGGAAUAUUGGACAAUGGGAGCACGCCUGAUGCAACGACGCCGCGUGGGGGAUGACGGCCUUCGGGUUGUAAGCCCCUUUCAGCCAUGACGAAGCCCUUGUGGUGACGGUAGUGGUAGAAGAAGCACCGGCUAACUACGUG
rnacentral:rRNA from 1 species